UACGGGGGGGGCAAGCGUUGUUCGGAAUUACUGGGCGUAAAGGGCUCGUAGGCGGCCAACUAAGUCGGAUGUGAAAUCCCCAGGCUUAACCUGGGAACUGCCUUCGAUACUGGAAGACUUGAGUCCGGGAGAGGUGAGUGGAACUGCGAGUGUAGAGGUGAAAUUCGUAGAUAUUCGCAAGAACACCAGUGGCGAAGGCGGCUCACUGGCCCGGUACUGACGCUGAGGUGCGAAAGCGUGGGGAGCAAACAGG
rnacentral:rRNA from 1 species